rnacentral:tRNA from 1 species
AGGAAGAUAAGCUAAUAAUUAAGCUAUCAGGUUCAUACCCUGCUCAUAGGAGUAAGAAUCUCCUUCUCCCUA